rnacentral:rRNA from 1 species
GAUGAACGCUAGCGGCAGGCUUAAUACAUGCAAGUCGUGGGGCAGCACAGUAUAGCAAUAUAUGGGUGGCGACCGGCAAACGGGUGCGGAACACGUACGCAACCUUCCUACAGGCGGGGAAUAGCCCAGAGAAAUUUGGAUUAAUACCCCAUAAAAUUUUGAGAUGGCAUCAUCUUAUUAUUAAAGAUUUAUCACCUGAAGAUGGGCGUGCGGCUGAUUAGGUAGNGGUCGGGGUAACGGCCCACCAAGCCUACGAUCAGUAGCUGAUGUGAGAGCAUGAUCAGCCACACGGGCACUGAGACACGGGCCCGACUCUACGGGAGGCAGCAGUAAGGAAUAUUGGUCAAAUGGACGCAAGUCUGAACCAGCCAUGCCGCGUGGAGGAUGAAGGUCCCUCUGGAUUGUAAACUUCUUUUAUCUGGGACGUAAAAAGGGUUUUCUAACUCGUCUGACGGUACCAGAUG